ensembl:lncRNA
GGUACAAGGAGCUCAUACAAGUGAACAGUUCCUACCGCAUCAGGCACUCCCAGCUCCUGCGUGAACAAGCUCAAUUGAAGAACAAUAUACAGAUUUUGAUGAUUGAGAAGAGAGAACUGCUGGUGGAGCAGACUGAACUGCCAGCAUACUCUGUGGAGACAAAGAGGCUCUGGGAAGAGGCCGGAAUGAACAUCUGUGACCCCAGUGCCACCAACAGCAGGUCUGAAAUUCUCCAGCAGAAACUCGAACAUGACACAGACCAGGACAAGAUCUCCCUUGGAGAGAAGAGCUACAGGAGGAGAACUAAGUGUGCACAGCAAAUACACCACUAUUGCGUCUCAUCUGUAAUGUCCAUAGCAAUUGUGGACUGCAUUUUCCUCCUUUAGUUUAACUUCUUUGGAUUGAAUACGCUGUAUUUUCACCUUGCCUCUCUCCAGCAAGUGUGCACUUUUUGAGGGACUCAGAGAAGUGCUGAUGCACAUCAAUCAAGAGCUGCUGGUCAUCCAGAAAGACCGUGCACGUGUAAAUUUGUACUUGUCCUGAUGGGUCACCCAGAAGAGUUUCAUGGAGAUCAGUUCACAAUAUUGGAAAGACUUUGUGACAAAGUCUGUAAUAUCAUUUAUACUCAAUGUUGGAUGGCUUUUUCCUUAAUACCCCCACUCCAACAAAACAGACCUACUUCCACUCCUCUUGAAAAGAUGAUUACCAUCACUAACUGCUUGUCUACUAUGUCUCCAAGGCAAGCCACAGGCUAUAAGUCUAUUCUGCAAAAGGAGCAGCAAAAAAUGCUUAG